rnacentral:rRNA from 1 species
UACGGGGGGAGCAAGCGUUGUUCGGAUUUACUGGGCGUAAAGGGCGCGUAGGCGGCCAGCACAAGUCAGUUGUGAAAUCUCCGGGCUUAACUCGGAAAGGUCAACUGAUACUGUGCGGCUAGAGUGCAGAAGGGGCAACUGGAAUUCACGGUGUAGCAGUGAAAUGCGUAGAUAUCGUGAGGAAGACCAGUGGCGAAGGCGGGUCUCUGGACAGUUCCUGACGCUGAGGCGCGAAGGCCAGGGGAGCAAACGGG